AUUGAACGCUGGCGGCAUGCCUUACACAUGCAAGUCGAACGGUAACAGGUUAAGCUGACGAGUGGCGAACGGGUGAGUAAUAUAUCGGAACGUGCCCAGUCGUGGGGGAUAACGUAGCGAAAGCUACGCUAAUACCGCAUACGAUCUACGGAUGAAAGCGGGGGAUCGCAAGACCUCGCGCGAUUGGAGCGGCCGAUAUCAGAUUAGGUUGUUGGUGAGGUAAAAGCUCACCAAGCCUGCGAUCUGUAGCUGGUCUGAGAGGACGACCAGCCACACUGGAACUGAGACACGGUCCAGACUCCUACGGGAGGCAACAGUGGGGAAUUUUGGACAAUGGACGCAAGUCUGAUCCAGCAAUGCCGCGUGCAGGACGAAGGCCUUCGGGUUGUAAACUGCUUUUGUACGGAACGAAACGGUGAGCUCUAAUACAGUUUGCUAACGACGGUACCGUAAGAAUAAGCACCGGCUAACUACGUGCCAGCAGCCGCGGUAA
rnacentral:rRNA from 1 species